rnacentral:rRNA from 1 species
GACGGGUGAGUAACACGUGGGUAACCUGCCUGUAAGACUGGGAUAACUCCGGGAAACCGGGGCUAAUACCGGAUGCUUGAUUGAACCGCAUGGUUCAAUCAUAAAAGGUGGCUUUUAGCUACCACUUACAGAUGGACCCGCGGCGCAAUAGCUAGUUGGUGAGGUAACGGCUCACCAAGGCGACGAUGCGUAGCCCACCUGAGAGGGUGAUCGGCCACACUGGGACUGAAACACGGCCCAGACUCCUACGGGAGGCAGCAGUAGGGAAUCUUCCGCAAUGGACGAAAGUCUGACGGAACAACGCCGCGUGAGUGAUGAAGGUUUUCGGAUCGUAAAACUCUGUUGUUAGGGAAGAACAAGUACCGUUCGAAUAGGGCGGUACCUUGACGGUACCUAACCAGAAAGCCACGGCUAACUACGUGCCAGCAGCCGCGGUAAUACGUAGGUGGCAAGCGUUGUCCGGAAUUAUUGGGCGUAAAGCGCGCGCAGGCGGUUUCUUAAGUCUGAUGUGAAAGCCCCCGGCUCAACCGGGGAGGGUCAUUGGAAACUGGGGAACUUGAGUGCAGAAGAGGAGAGUGGAAUUCCACGUGUAGCGGUGAAAUGCGUAGAGAUGUGGAGGAACACCAGUGGCGAAGGCGACUCUCUGGUCUGUAACUGACGCUGAGGCGCGAAAGCGUGGGGAGCGAACAGGAUUAGAUACCCUGGUAGUCCACGCCGUAAACGAUGAGUGCUAAGUGUUAGAGGGUUUCCGCCCUUUAGUGCUGCAGCAAACGCAUUAAGCACUCCGCCUGGGGAGUACGGUCGCAAGACUGAAACUCAAAGGAAUUGACGGGGGCCCGCACAAGCGGUGGAGCAUGUGGUUUAAUUCGAAGCAACGCGAAGAACCUUACCAGGUCUUGACAUCCUCUGACAACCCUAGAGAUAGGGCUUCCCCUUCGGGGGCAGAGUGACAGGUGGUGCAUGGUUGUCGUCAGCUCGUGUCGUGAGAUGUUGGGUUAAGUCCCGCAACGAGCGCAACCCUUGAUCUUAGUUGCCAGCAUUCAGUUGGGCACUCUAAGGUGACUGCCGGUGACAAACCGGAGGAAGGUGGGGAUGACGUCAAAUCAUCAUGCCCCUUAUGACCUGGGCUACACACGUGCUACAAUGGGCAGAACAAAGGGCAGCGAAGCCGCGAGGCUAAGCCAAUCCCA